rnacentral:rRNA from 2 species
CUUGCUCCUUUGACGUUAGCGGCGGACGGGUGAGUAACACGUGGGUAACCUACCUAUAAGACUGGGAUAACUUCGGGAAACCGGAGCUAAUACCGGAUAACAUUUGGAACCGCAUGGUUCUAAAGUGAAAGAUGGUUUUGCUAUCACUUAUAGAUGGACCCGCGCCGUAUUAGCUAGUUGGUAAGGUAACGGCUUACCAAGGCGACGAUACGUAGCCGACCUGAGAGGGUGAUCGGCCACACUGGAACUGAGACACGGUCCAGACUCCUACGGGAGGCAGCAGUAGGGAAUCUUCCGCAAUGGGCGAAAGCCUGACGGAGCAACGCCGCGUGAGUGAUGAAGGGUUUCGGCUCGUAAAACUCUGUUAUUAGGGAAGAACAAAUGUGUAAGUAACUGUGCACAUCUUGACGGUACCUAAUCAGAAAGCCACGGCUAACUACGUGCCAGCAGCCGCGGUAAUACGUAGGUGGCAAGCGUUAUCCGGAAUUAUUGGGCGUAAAGCGCGCGUAGGCGGUUUCUUAAGUCUGAUGUGAAAGCCCACGGCUCAACCGUGGAGGGUCAUUGGAAACUGGGAAACUUGAGUGCAGAAGAGGAAAGUGGAAUUCCAUGUGUAGCGGUGAAAUGCGCAGAGAUAUGGAGGAACACCAGUGGCGAAGGCGACUUUCUGGUCUGUAACUGACGCUGAUGUGCGAAAGCGUGGGGAUCAAACAGGAUUAGAUACCCUGGUAGUCCACGCCGUAAACGAUGAGUGCUAAGUGUUAGGGGGUUUCCGCCCCUUAGUGCUGCAGCUAACGCAUUAAGCACUCCGCCUGGGGAGUACGACCGCAAGGUUGAAACUCAAAGGAAUUGACGGGGACCCGCACAAGCGGUGGAGCAUGUGGUUUAAUUCGAAGCAACGCGAAGAACCUUACCAAAUCUUGACAUCCUUUGAAAACUCUAGAGAUAGAGCCUUCCCCUUCGGGGGACAAAGUGACAGGUGGUGCAUGGUUGUCGUCAGCUCGUGUCGUGAGAUGUUGGGUUAAGUCCCGCAACGAGCGCAACCCUUAAGCUUAGUUGCCAUCAUUAAGUUGGGCACUCUAGGUUGACUGCCGGUGACAAACCGGAGGAAGGUGGGGAUGACGUCAAAUCAUCAUGCCCCUUAUGAUUUGGGCUACACACGUGCUACAAUGGACAAUAC